AAAAGGAUAUAUAAAUAUAUAUAUAUAUAUAGGAUUAAUUUUAUACAGAUUCCUACAAACAUAUUGAAUAGCAGAUAUAUUCUUACAAAGUUUAACUUUUAUAAAUUUUUUCUGCAAAAGUUCUAAUGUAUUCAAAUAUGUCCCUCUAGUUAGUAUCAGUUAGAAAACUGUUAAUUUUUUAACAGCAGAGAUGUGAAAUGACUAUUUUGUCCUUGCCCUCUUCCUCUUCCUCUUUCGGCUGUGGGAGCGGAUGGCAGCGGCGACGGCAAUCUUGCGGAGUUUGUCGGGGUUGCGGCCAACGGCGUUGCGGAGCUUGUCGGGUCCACGGCGCGGCCGAUGCGGUCGGAGGCGCGGGUGACGACGGCCCACACGGGCACCACGACGGCAGCGACGACGACGACGAAGAAGAAGAAGGAGGAGAAAAGGAGGAAAAUGAGGAUACGAAGAAGAAUAGGAAGAAGAAGAAGCAGGAGAGAAAGAUGAAGAGGAAGAGGAAGAAGAAGAAGAGAAAGAUGAAUUGGGAUAGAAAUGUUAUUUUACUUUAUUAACUCACUAUAGUUAAGUAUUUUAACUAUGGUUAACUAGAUUUCUCUAACGGAGAUUAACGGCAGGAAUAUAUCUGAAUACAUUAUAAUUUUUGCAAAGAUAACAUGAAAAUUGAAUUUUAUAGGGAUAUAUAUGCUAUUCACCAUAUUUAUAGGGACCUGUAUAAAAUUAAUCAAUAUAUAUAUAUAUA
rnacentral:lncRNA from 1 species